GGGGGCGAUUCGGUCUCGACGGGGGUAUGUGAAGCGCAGGUUGCGUCCGAGGUCUCCGCAUGGCCCUCGUUAAACAGGCGGAAAACUAGAACUGCGAACGAUAACUUCGCCCUCGCUGCGUAAGUAGUGAGCAUUCCACCAUGAGCUCAGCGGAUGGCGCAUGGCUGGGGUGUUGCAAAUGUCCGCUGGCCCGUCCAAUGCCGAAUGCGGUCGGGUGAGAACUUUUCGGCUGGUGUGAACGGAAGCCUGUCGGUGGGCGUCCGGGCAUGCGAGAUUCAAAUCACCGAAUACGACGUAGAUACCUUCGUGGACGACUUCCGGACCCGGGUUCGACUCCCGGCGCCUCCACCG
rnacentral:tmRNA from 1 species